rnacentral:rRNA from 1 species
AGAGUUUGAUCAUGGCUCAGGAUGAACGCUGGCGGCGUGCCUAACACAUGCAAGUCGAACGAAGCACUAUAACAGAUCCUUCGGGUGAAGAUACAGUGACUGAGUGGCGGACGGGUGAGUAACGCGUGGGUAACCUGCCCUGUACAGGGGGAUAACAGUUAGAAAUGACUGCUAAUACCGCAUAAGCGCACGAUGGUAGCAUUACCAGGUGUGAAAAACUCCGGUGGUACAGGAUGGGCCCGCGUCUGAUUAGCUUGUUGGCGGGGUAAGAGCCCACCAAGGCGACGAUCAGUAGCCGGUCUGAGAGGAUGAACGGCCACAUUGGAACCGAGACACGGUCCAAACUCCUACGGGAGGCAGCAGUGGGGAAUAUUGCACAAUGGGGGGAACCCUGAUGCCAGCAACGCCGCGUGGGUGAAGAAGUAUUUCGGUAUGUAAAGCCCUAUCAGCAGGGAAGAUAGUGACGGUACCUGACUAAGAAGCUCCGGCUAAAUACGUGCCAGCAGCCGC